UACGAGGGGGGCAAAUGUUGUUCGGAAUCACUGGGCGUAAAGGGAGCGUAGGCGGGUUCUUAAGUAAGGUGUUUAAUCCCGGGGCCCAACCCCGGACCGGCACUUUAAACUGGGAAUCUUGAAUAGUGGAGAGGUCGGUGGAAUUGGGGGUGUAGCGGUGGAAUGCGUAGAGAUCCCCAAGAACACCAGUUGCGAAGGCGGCCGACUGGACACAUAUUGACGCUGAGGCUCGAAAGCAUGGGGGAGCAAACAGG
rnacentral:rRNA from 1 species